CUUGAUUACUUUAAAUCAAAUACAAGGUUUACUAAUUAUUACACAGAUUCUUUUACCUUUAUACAUUGCCCUUUCUCAAUUAAACAAUUUACAUUUCCUUUCAUCAACUAUAAACAGAUGAAAUAUACAAGGUAAAACUAUACUCAAUGGAUGUCGCUAUCUAUUGCGCGCUGUCCCUGUCACGAUUCUCGAUCACCCCACACGAACUAGAACCUGCAUGGUUAGUGGUGUGAGAACUACUAAAAGUUCCCAGUGGGUUCGGCCGCCGACCCCGCCGACUCACCCACUAGGUCUAUUCAGGCAUAUGUAGGCAAAAAAAAAGAAUAGAUAGUAACCAGCUAUAACAUGUAACUACUACAAUGCCUAUACAAAGCUGAAAGAAACAGUAGAUAAUAUCUGAAAUUUAUGCAUGCAUGCUGUUCAUAAUUAUUAUCCAAUUAAACUGGUUAACCCUUUGGUUAACAAAAACUCACCGACGAAAUCACAAGUAUCGGGGAGACGCAAGCUACAUCCCGACGGGACUGUCUACUGGGGGAGACGCUAGCUCCUGAUCCAGUUAAGAUGACUACUCCGGAGCUCAUCGUUCAAGGAGGAGCGAGUAUGAUCUGAUCCUAUUGUGAGUAUGAUCUGAUCCUCCUUUAGAAGGUCCAACAAAUGACAAUGCCACAUUUUAACUCUAACUAGCCCUUUAUGCUAGUUUUACAAUUUCAUUCUCAAUGCUAACCAAAUCUCUAGUCAUGAUGUCACCAAAUUUACUAUUGUCAUAGUCCACAGUAAAGUUCACACAUUUAUAGAGUUCUAUGUUCAUAUUCUAUGGCCCACAUGUUCUUUACAUUGACAGAAAUUCAAUUGCAUAAUAACACUUUUCCCUAUAAUGCAUGAAUAUGAUACAAUUCACAUAUAUAGAUAUGCUCAAUAAGAUAGCAUAGACAUAAAGAGGGAUUCGAUGACUUCGGAUAGCACCACCCACCUAUAGGACUGUCGAAGACUAGAACCAACGUCAC
rnacentral:lncRNA from 1 species